rnacentral:rRNA from 1 species
UACGAGGGGGGCAAGCGUUGUUCGGAAUUAUUGGGCGUAAAGGGUGCGUAGGCGGUCUGACAAGUCUGUAUGUGAAAUCUAUGGGCUCAACCCAUAGUCCUGCAUCGGAAACUGUCGGGCUUGAGUAAGUGGGAUGAGGUAGAGUGGAAUUUCCGGUGUAGCGGUGAAAUGCGUUAGAUAGUUGGGAAGAACACCCGGGUGGCGAAAGGCGGCUAUCUGGACCGUAAC